rnacentral:lncRNA from 1 species
AUUUAACCUGUGAAGGACUACACAAUGCUCAUUUAACCUAUGAAGGACAAAAAUAUUCCAUCCUCUCUGAAUGAUGAACUAAACUAAAUAAGAAAUAUAUGCAGUAAAUUCAUUCGAAGUAGAAAAGGGAUCUUACAUCAAAUAAGGCAUUACAACAAACAUGGUGUUAUCUUAGUAAAAGAAAUUACAUCAUUAGAAGAGAAAAGGGAAGAAAACCAAACAUGAGGUUGAGAUUAAUACAUCUAGGAGGAGGUCGUAGACAUCACUUUGAUCAUGACAUCACUGUGAUCAUUUUGCGGCCUGGGGAGCAAGGAUCCAUGGUUUUUAUAUGCCUUGUCCGGCUGCUGGAGUUGAUGACAUGGAAACGUCAUCUCUACCAUCUCGAUGGCUUAGACCCAGGGAGCCGGAUGUUCAUCUCAGCCCUCCCCAGCUUCCAUCAAUGGAUUUUUAUAGUCAGGGUUAAAGACUGAGAGGCCCUAUGCAUGUUCACAAAAACACAAUUUUGACAAAUUAUCUCUAUUGUAAAAUUGAGGGAGUAACUCAUUAUUCGAGAGAACUGGUCGUACAUGAAGCAUCAAGAACACACGUGCAAAAAUCUAAUUCUAACUGAAUUUAGCUUUCAGUUGGCAUUUCCUCAAACAAUCAAGUGCACCUAUUAUUAUUUGGCUGACAAAAAUAUGAACACCAAACAUGCCAUCAUCAUUAAGCAAUUCAAGGAUGUCUAUGAAUCGGACAUGAAAUAUUUGGAGCAUGGAAUAAAAAACAGCACACUGUCUUCUGGCGUAGAUGCACAAUAGAUGCACUCCUUCAAAUAGAGAUCAAUUUUCAGCUGAAACGAUAGAUGCACUCUUUCAAAUAUGCAUCAUAGUAGGUCCUACAAAAAUCACGAGAAAUUAGAGGAUGCAACUUGAUGACUGCCUUCUAUAUCAUUUGGAGGACAAAAGAAGCUAGAAAAAUUGUGAUGAACCACCAAUCCCUGUUAAAAGUAACUAUCAUUCCCCUUUGAUAUAUGGAUAUAUCAAUCAAGAGAGAGAGUGGGGGGGUUAUACCAGGAAACACUUUGCAAACAUAAGCUUUUAAACUGGUAGUCAACUUACUGUCAACAUGUAAGGUUGCCUCAUUUCUGAAAAACACAAAUCCACCCUAAAUUUUCACAUGAAUAAAAUGUAGAUUUUCUCUUCUAUCAAGAUAUUACAUGUCUGGUAUCUUCUUGUAGGAACUGCUACCAUCAUUUGCUUCUUCUCACAAAGAAUUCAAUCCAUAGUAUGCCAAGAAGCUAUGAAAAAAAAUUAAUUUCUUCAAAGAAUAAAAUACAUUGCAGAAAUAAAAUACUCUAUCAGAGAGUUGGCAGGCAAGGUAGUAGGGACAAGAAGAGCAAGAACUAACUUUGAGAGGAUAUGGGCAAACUCCUGCAUUGUGCCCUGGCUGACCCCUACGCUUACGCCAUGCCUCCUGUAUCCAUUCCUCAUUCCUCUGUGUUGUGAUAGAAAUUCAGAAUGGCAAAUAAAAGUAUUAUUAGAUUGCAGCCUUAAUUUCUUAUCCUUUAGUAGAUGCACAUUUGAUUCUAUUCUUAGAUUGCAGCCUUAAUUUCUUAUCCUUUAGUAGACGCACAUUUGAUUCUGAAGGAAGAAGACGGGAAAUAUGCAUAUAGCAAGAAAUAGUAAAAAUAUGUUCUUUCGAACUUGCAUGGCUAUUUGUUUUUUCUGUAAACAUGCCAAUCUACUGCCAUCUCACUCGCCUUAAUUUCUUACCUUUUCAUAGAUGCAAAUUUGAUUUUGAGCAAGUAGAGAAGCAAUAUACGAUAGCAUACAUCAAGAAAGAGUAGAAGAAUGUUCUUUUCAGCUGAUGUACACUAUAGAUGCAAAUUAUAUAUAUACGACUAUAAUUUUUUUCCUGUAAAUACACUGAUGUACUACCAUCUCAUUACAAAUUAUGUAUCGUGCCAAGGAAAAAUCAUUUUACUUUUCAGCAUAUAUAUACGAUCAUACGGUAGUCACACAUAUAAGCAGCACCACAAAAACAAACACACAAACAUGACACCUGGAAAAAUCAGGAACGGAGGAAUUAGCAUGACAAUAAGAAGUAAACAAAUAGGGUAGAAAAGUGCAGUGCUUAGAAAAGAAUGACAAGGAGAAACAUUGACCAAAGGAACAGAGAAGGAGCAACCUUAGCGAUUCUAGAGCCUGCAAAAUAGAAGGAAAGGAAGGUUAGCCAAACAAGCCAGUCUGUUCAAUACCUAACACAACAACAAAUCAAAGACAACCUAGCUUUACAUGGCAGAAAUUUCAAGAGAAAAAAUAUAUAAUAUGAUAUCUAACUGUGCGAAUACAUUAGGAAAUACCACUUCCAAAUUAGAGCGCACCAUUCCCCAAAACUCAAGGACUCAAUAUUCAAAAACUACACAUCAUGAUAGUUAGUUGUUCUACAGCAGCAAGCUAAAUAACACCUAGGUUGUGUAUUAUCUCAUCACACAAAGAAUGUAAAUCAUCACUCCAUAAGAUCAAGAUUUACUAUUUAUUCUACUUCUGCCCCCAACGCAUGAAAAUGCAGCUCCAUUUGGAAUCUGCUCUCCAGUCAAGUAUUUUGUUAAGCAAAUAGGCACAUAGCAAAAAACCAAACCAGAUUCCCGCCUCCAUAUAUGCUUCACGUAUAGUUGUUUACCAAUUCUAGUUCUGCUUGAAACAUCAAGCAUAAUUGGCUACUGAUUCAUUUAUAAAAUAGAAGUGCACCAAAAAAUAACUAUUUGAAAUUACAAAUAGGGAUAGGCCAAUAGAUGACCUCUUAAUUCCAUAGGAAUCACAAAAUCCCAAAAAACGGUACAAUUAUCAUUUUAUAAAUGUUCGCACCUUAAAGUUAACAAUCUUCUCAAAUUAGCAUACAGGGCUAACAUAAACUUAAGCAAGACUGUCCAAAUGAUCAUGGUACAUGGUGGAUUUAUCAUAAUUAAUAUUUGGCUGGAAGUGGGCUACGUUCUACAGAUAUUCUGAAGCUCAUUUUCAGUAGUCAGAUAAAUCGACCUGCUACAGCGCCUCUAGCCGCCCACCAACACCCACGAUAGGCCACCAUGGACGACGUGCACCUGAUUCCACCAGGAAGCCAAUCCUAUACCAUCGCUAGUGUGCGCGCGCCUAAAGUGCACAGUGAGGCAGAUCUUCCCUUCGUGGUAUAUCUGCAUCAAUAUCCCAACCACAACAAGAAUCACUGCCAAGAAUGAUUAUCACCCGACAACACUAUUUUUUUAACAAGUUUCAUGGUGGCAAUUCAUAGAACAGUCCAACAUAAAUAAAGAAGCUGCAACCAUAGUGUGAGAAUUGGAAGGGAAUACUGAAGCGAACAUGGGCGCAAAGAAAUACACAACUGAACUGGAGACAAUGAAAGUAGACCACUCCAAAACAUUAAGAAACCUAUAGUCGUUAAUGUGGAAACUAAAUCUCAUUGAGGUGGAGAUGACUCAUAACCUACAGAUGAAAAGAAGAGCUCGCCUGCAGAUUGGGACCCUCGAUGUAGCCAUGGAAGCCUAGCCAUACAAAGUGGUGCUUCGAUGCGAAAACUCAAGGCAACCGUGGCAAGGCCCCAUCGAACAACGCCUCAUUUCCUCUCACUCCACCUAUUUCCCAUAACUUAGAUUCAUAAUCAAAUAUUCAGGUGCAAUAACAAUUUUUGUCCGGUUAUAAGUUAAAACUAAGGAAAUUAAAUACUAAUUAGAAUCUGAGACACAUCCAACCAAGGAAAUCGAUCUACAAGAUGCCCUUGCAGCACAAGACAACUCCUCCCUUAGCCAAUCCAUAGACGACAGCUCAUUGGUCGCUACUUGUUGGCGCAUUCAGACUUCUCCUUUCCCU